rnacentral:lncRNA from 1 species
UCCAUGGAAUUUGAAUCAAUCAAACAUACUCUUAUUUCCAAUCACAAAUUCUCCCAUAAAAUAAUUUCACACGUAAAUAAAAUAAAAUAAAAAUUCUUAUUUUUUUAAACCAUACAUCCUUCAAAAAAUCACAUUUUCAAUUUUUUUAGUCAAUAUAAAGCUCAAACAAUGGCUGAACGAAUUCAAAUAAUAAGGGAGGAAUACAAAAUGAAAACCUCAACCUAUACCUAGUAAAGCAUGUCAGUCUUAAAUUCCAACCUUCGAAUUUUGUAGCACCCAUUGGACACAAAUUGCAAGUUAAAAGUCUCUUGAUGGGGGCAUUUAGGUAA